rnacentral:tRNA from 11 species
AGAAAAGGUCAGGAUAGCUCAGU